GUGCCAGCAGCCGCGGUAAUACGGAGGGUGCGAGCGUAAAUCGGAAUUACUGGGCGUAAAGCGUACGCAGGCGGUUUGUUAAGCGAGAUGUGAAAGCCCCGGGCUCAACCUGGGAACUGCAUUUCGAACUGGCAAACUAGAGUGUGAUAGAGGGUGGUAGAUUUUCAGGUGUAGCGGUGAAAUGCGUAGAGAUCUGAAGGAAUACCGAUGGCGAAGGCAGCCACCUGGGUCAACACUGACGCUCAUGUACGAAAGCGUGGGGAGCAAACAGGAUUAGAUACCCCAGUAGUCC
rnacentral:rRNA from 1 species